rnacentral:rRNA from 1 species
GACGAACGCUGGCGGCGUGCCUAAUACAUGCAAGUAGAACGCUGAAGGAGGAGCUUGCUUCUCUGGAUGAGUUGCGAACGGGUGAGUAACGCGUAGGUAACCUGCCUGGUAGCGGGGGAUAACUAUUGGAAACGAUAGCUAAUACCGCAUAAGAGUAGAUGUCGCAUGACAUUUGCUUAAAAGGUGCAAUUGCAUCACUACCAGAUGGACCUGCGUUGUAUUAGCUAGUUGGUGAGGUAACGGCUCACCAGGGCAACGAUACAUAGCCGACCUGAGAGGGUGAUCGGCCACACUGGGACUGAGACACGGCCCAGACUCCUACGGGAGGCAGCAGUAGGGAAUCUUCGGCAAUGGACGGAAGUCUGACCGAGCAACGCCGCGUGAGUGAAGAAGGUUUUCGGAUCGUAAAGCUCUGUUGUAAGAGAAGAACGAGUGUGAGAGUGGAAAGUUCACACUGCGACGGUAUCUUACCAGAAAGGGACGGCUAACUACGUG